rnacentral:tRNA from 1 species
GCGGGUGUAGUUCAAUGGUAGAACAUCAGCUUCCCAAGCUGAUUGCGUGGGUUCGAUUCCCAUCACCCGCU